AGACAACAGUAUGAGGAAAAAAAACGAAGUUUUAGACCAGAAAAAGUUAGUUGAAAAAAGAAGAGCUUGGAAAAGUAAAACCUAUGAGGUGACCGACCCCUGACCCGCGUGGAUUUCAUCAGCAGCAUAACAUCACAGAGCAAAGCAUUCAGGAGGAGAAGCUCAUCCCCAUGUGACACAACAAAGUUGAUGCAUCCGCCCGGCCUCUUCACUUUUUAUCGUCCUGAAGCGUCAGUGUUCAACAAGCAUAACAGCUACAGGAAAAACAGCUGCAGACCAGGAGCACGAAACACAAAAGCUCAUCAGACGGACAACUUGCACGGGCACGGGACAAGCACGAGAAAAGACCACAGUAAAGGGAGGCCAUGGGCAGGCUGGGGGUGU